rnacentral:tRNA from 1 species
GCUUUCAUGGUGUAGUGAUCAGCACACUCGACGGGUAAACGAAAGGUCCGAGGUUCGAUUCCCGGCGAAGGCA